UGAUGCUGGCCAUCCACAAAAAGAUCCUGCAGUCAGGCGGGCAGCCUUUCGACUAUUCUCCCAUUCGGUUUCGCGCCCGGAACGGGGAGUACAUCACGCUGGACACCAGCUGGUCCAGCUUCAUCAACCCAUGGAGCAGGAAAAUCUCCUUCAUCAUUGGGAGGCACAAAGUCAGGGUGGGCCCUUUGAAUGAGGACGUGUUUGCAGCCCACCCCUGCAUAGAGAAGGCCCUGCACCCCAGCAUUCAGGAGCUCACGGAGCAGAUCCACCGGCUCUUGCUGCAGGUGGGUGUGGUGCCUGCAUGCCCUCUUCCCAGGUAGCAGCCUGAGAGCCCCCUGCAGAGGACAUAGGCUCUGAACCCUGGUCCUGGCACACCCACUCAGACAGCUUCAUCUGUCAUUCUCUGAACAUCCCCCAGGGGACAGUUUGGGCAUAGAUCCUGCUAGUCCGAGACAGUCCAUAAUACCCUUGGCUCUCUCCAGCCUUGCAUUCGACCUUGUCUGAACUGCAGCCCUGAGUGAGUAGCUGAAGGACGUGUGCAGACCCCGUGCUCUGACACAGGCUGCAUAGUC
rnacentral:sRNA from 1 species